rnacentral:rRNA from 1 species
GCAAGUCGAACGAGAAAGCACUUUCGGGUGUGAGUAUAGUGGCGCACGGGUGAGUAACGCGUGGGUAACUACCUAGUAGUGGGGGAUAACAGUUGGAAACGACUGCUAAUACCGCAUAAUCCCUUCGGGGGAAAGAUUUAUCGCUACUAGAUGUGCCCGCGUUAGAUUAGUUAGUUGGUGGGGUAAAGGCCUACCAAGGCGACGAUCUGUAGCUGGUUUGAGAGAAUGAUC